GUGCUCUGUGAUGAUAAAAAGACGCGUUAUUCUGAGGAAGCAAACUGCCACCAGCCCUCUCCACCUCAAUCUUUUUCUCCUCUUGCAUCUGCUUUUCUCUCUCAUGCUGGUUGGUAGUCCUCUGACUGUGAUUAUGAGAUCUGAGGGCUU